ensembl:lncRNA
GGAUGUGCACUCUAAGGGCAUGGUAAUUUAUCCAAAAUCACCCACCUGGUCAUGGGGAAAGCUGAAGUUCCAAUUCAGGCCUUGUAAUUCUCUGCACACAUCCUGGUGGAAAUGCUGCCGGCCUGACCAAAAUCCAGCCCACUGGGUUACUCCUGGCCCACUGUGACAGCCAACAAACUCUUUAGUAAAAGCUCAGGGCUUCAAACAAGAGUUCGAAGCCCACCCCGUCCAGAUCAACUUCUCCGCCCUUCUUUGGGCCCUUAGAGGCCAACAAGUGCCUGCCUCCAUCCUCUGACUGGGCCUGGCCAACGGGAAGCCUGCGGAGGAGUGAGGAGCGAAUUUUUCAUUCCCGUCCCGAUGAAAUUAAAGGCAAGAGCUACCACUCUACCCCUGAGAAGAAAGCAUAUCUUUUAAGCAUUCAGGGCCCAGGAGUCAGCAAAGCGUUUGGCACACAAGCAAAGACCGCCAGGACCUGACCUGCAGGGCGCCUAACCCCCAACCCUGUGCCAGGGCAAGGGAGCCUAAAGACGCACAGACUCCCAGCAGGAGAGCGGCAUGUUCCCAUGCCAGGAAACGAGACAACACAGACAAAUGACCCAGGCGACACGGAUG